UACGUAGGGUGCAAGCGUUGUCCGGAAUUAUUGGGCGUAAAGAGCUCGUAGGCGGUUUGUCGCGUCUGCUGUGAAAACCCGAGGCUCAACCUCGGGCCUGCAGUGGAUACGGGCAGACUAGAGUGCGGUAGGGGAGAUUGGAAUUCCUGGUGUAGCGGUGAAAUGCGCAGAUAUCAGGAGGAACACCGGUGGCGAAGGCGGGUCUCUGGGCCGAUAUUGACGCUGAGGAGCGAAAGCGUGGGGAGCGAACAGG
rnacentral:rRNA from 1 species